CCCUUUGCCAGCGAGUCUCCCGAAUUUGCAUCUAGUCUGCGCGGAGUAGAACGUAGCUCCACCCCGCAGUCACCUUGGUAAGCGUCUUUGCUCCCCCAACCCAAAUUUCUUGAACCAACUUUUCAUCACUCCCACCAGUUAGGUGGCAGAAUCUGUAACAACUCCGCUUUAAAGGGUCUCUGAUGGGACCACUUUAUUCACAGGCCUAUAAUCUCAGUCACCACAGAUCUACGUUUCAACGGAAGGAAGGAAGGAAGGAAGGAAGGAAGGAAGGAGGGAGGGAGGGAGGGAGGGAGGGAGGGAGGGAGGGAGGGAGGGAGGAAGGAAGGAAGGAAGGAAGGAAGGAAGGAAGGAAGGAAGGAAGGAAGGAAGGAAGGAAGGAAGGAAGGAAGGAAGGGGAAAAAAGAAAAAAAUGCACACUCAGAUGCACCAGCCGCUGAUCCCACCACCCUGUUGGCUGAAGCUGUCGGACUAACUCUGGAGCUCCUAGGAGCUUAAGCGAAGCAAGCGAAGCCGAUCUGCAGCAGGCUCUCGGCAGCCCUACUGGCCAGCUAAAAAGCCUGACAGCAACUUACUUGACAGCCUCAACCCAGGGGUUUCUGGCUAAUACCCGCCACUUUUUCUCAGCUUCAAAUCUCAGUCCUCUCAAGGAGUUUUAGAUAAAUCUCCUUGUUUGGCGUUUUACUUAUUUUGUUUUGUUUUAAUUAUCGCGUUGAGCAAAGUGCAGUAAUGGAAGACCACUUCCGUGUGGCAUCUGAUUUUUCUGCGUAGUCUAUAUAGCAUCUUUCAGGAUCCUU
rnacentral:lncRNA from 1 species